GUGGAAGCAGAUUGGUGUGGUCGGCCAGGUUUCUGACCAGAGGAAGUUCAUUCAAUGGAAUCCCUAAUUUGACACUCUCCUCCAAAUCACUGUGUCUGAAAAAUUUCUGCCAUUUAAGUUUACGACAGAACAAGUGUAGGUCCUUCACCCAAGAAAAAGAGUUGUACCUGGUAGUUGGUACAAAGGAGGUACCCCUAGUUCAUUGCGUUCAUGGCGUUUCGUAUAUCUUCUGUGCGGUGCGGAGAGAGGAACACAGGCCAGGUGGAAAUCUUUUGGAAAGGGAUACAGAAAUUCAGGUGGUCACAACUUCUUCCGGAGGUGGUUGGUAUAGAGUUCAGCCGGAGGCGCGGUGAUGCUGGUGACCCGCGCUGUGGCAGUUCCUGUGCUUCUUGCUCCACAAAGACUGAUGACCCUGAAGAAUGUUAAAAAUGCUUGUCAAGUACAUUCAAGAAAACAAUCGCCCAGCAUGCUGCUUCCCUCCUGAUGAUCUUGUGUUUAUAAUUGAGCAUUGGUGCCAAUAAAAUACAUAAAUUACCUUUA